AUGUCAGAUCCUGGUAAGGAUGGCAAUAUGCAGCAGCUAGUCCCAAUGGCACCACCGGCAAGGGUUUCUGGUGGUGAACUAGUGGCAAAGGCUUCUGUUGCUGACAGUGGAAAGCAGCUGGCGCUGGUGGAGGGUGGAGGAAAGAGCUCGGGAGGGGUCAAGCUACGGGAGGAUGUGGAGGACAUAGAGGUGAAGCUGAAGCGCAUCAUGGACAAUGUCCCUGUCCGUGCCAGCAACACCUCUGGGUCCUCCGCUGGUUCUGGCUCUGGCGACUUCCACCAGUAUCGGCAAAUGAGGAGAAGGGAACAGGACCGAAUAACGAGGAUGGAGACUGAUUACGAAAAGAGGAAGCAGGUGGCCGAGUUCAAUCUGCGGAGGGAGGAAAGGCUAAAAGCAGCUGAGGAGCGUACAUCCAAGAAGCGCCUGAAGCGCCAAAAGAAGAAGCAGCGAAAGAAUGAAAAGCGGGCCAAACCAAGCGGUGGCGGCGAGGAACCCAAUAGCGAAGCAGUGCCUAAGCAGGUGGAGGAGGAGUCAGACGACGACGAUGAGGGUUCGGAUUACGAGGGCGACGACAAGUUUAAGCAAUGCAAAUGA
rnacentral:rRNA from 1 species